UAAUUAUCAUACGCGGAUCUAACCAAGUAGCCUUAGAAUCCAAAUUCCCUUGUUCUUCUUCUUCAACUCCCCCAAACCCUAACCCUAAAAACUGGAAAUUUCGUCUGAUUUCCAAUUUAGUGUUUAACUGAAGUCGCAUCGUUUCGAAUUUCAGCUAAUGGCGAGCGGCUCCAAUGAACCCACGCGUCGCAAGCACCGCCGGUCUCCUUCUGACGACGAGAACAACGACGCCGAAGCACCUUUGAAACGGCGGAAGCACCGCCACCAUAAACAUCACCGGCAUCAUCGCCACCACCAUCACCACCGCAGCAAGAAGGAGGAGAGAGUGGAGGACGCAACAGCUGAAGCUGAAAUCGAGAUGGAAGAGAAUCUAGAAGAGGAACGGAAGAGUAAUGAGAAUGCGGUGGUUGAUGCUGCAACUGGUGGCACAACUAGUGCGGCUGUUAUUUCUGGUUCAGUUUUGGGGAUUGAUUAUGAUAUGGAAGAAGGAGAGAUUGUUGAUGAGGGUGAGUGUGGUGGUGGUGGUUCUCGUAUCGAUGGAGAUGAGGUGAAAAAGGAGAAAGAGCGUGGUUCUGAUGUGGAGUCUGGAGAGAUUGGGGCUGUUCACGGGGGCCAUUCUGACAAUUCUCACAUGAAGGUGGAUGUAUAUCAAGAGGGGAAGAAUCAUACCUGUUGUUUGCCUUCUGAAGAAGGUAUGAAUGAAGAGGAUGGAAAGAUGGCGGCAUCAAGUGAUUUUAGGAUUGAUGGGGAAGAUGAUGGAUGUUUUGCAAGGAAGAAAUAUAAUGAUUUGGGUCAGAAAAGAACUUCCAGAACUGAACAUAUUUCUAAUGGUGAGUUUGUGCAUGAAUACCGUAAGGAUGAGUUAACUGUUGAAGAACAUAGUUGGAGAAAUGACUACUCUAAUGAAGAAAGUAUUUUGAGGGAGACUAAUGAAUUGUUAGGUGAAGGUGGGCAAAAAAGGGAUUUCUCAAGGUCACCGUCACGGGACAGACACUGUGAAAGGGUUCGAAGUGGGAGCUGUCCAAAGUCACGUGAUCAGUCUCGAGGAAGGUCUAGGUCGCAAAGCAUUUUCCGAGAGGGUUCUUUACUCAAUACACCAAAAACGUAUAACGAUUAUUCAAGAAGAAAGAAUAGGAGUGAUUCAGAUGAGGAGCAUGAAUCCAGCAGGGAUUACCAACCUGCCAGCAGAGAAUCAUUUAGGUAUGAACAAAGGAGUUACAGCAGACACAGUAGUCGGUCAACAAGGCAUCAUAGUCGAGAAAUGCGGGACAGGGAUAGAGAGGGCAGCCGGGAUGUGGACAGAGACAGGACAAGAGACAGAGAGCGAGAGAGGACAAGGGAGAAGGAGCAGGAGAGGGAAAGGGCUAGGGAGCGGGAGAAAGAGAGGGAGAGGGAAAAGGAGAGAGAGAGGCACAGGGACUGGGAGAGGGAGAAGGAGAGGGAAAGGAGGAGGGAGCGGGAUAGAGGGAGCAGCCGAGAUAGAAAUAGGGACCGAGAUAGGGAUAGAGAUAGUCAAAGGUCCUUUAGGAACUCUAAACACAAUCACACUGAUGAUGGCUAUGGUGAGCAAGAUAGGAUUGAUGAUUACAGGCAUAGGAGGCACGAUGAAGCCAGUCACAAGGAUAGGAUAAGUGUAAGUGAUACUGGAAAAAUUGAUGGUUCUAAGAAGAAUAUGGCUGGAAGGGAAAAUGACAAGUCUGGAAGAGAUGAAAAGGAACAAGAAGAAUACCAAGAAAAAAUUGUGUUGCGACUAGCAGAACAGGAAGAAGAUGACCUUGAAAGAAUUAAAGAGGAAAGUAGGAGGCGAAGGGAAGCUAUACUAGAAAAACAUAGAAGUCAGAAAUCACAGCAGCACUCCGAAGCUAAAAUAGAAAACACAGUAAAAGAGCAAGGAGAACAGCCAUUAGUGAUGGUACCAUCUGUUAGUGUUGCUCUCGAAUCUAAUGAUCUUCGUAAUGAGGGCCAAGAUGACUAUGUUGCUGACCCAUCCUUUUCUGUUGGAAAAUCCCCUCCACCAAAUGGGGUUUCUACUAUUGAGAAGCCUUCUGAUACUGGUGGACUCGGAGCCGGUACUCCAAAGAGUGAAAGAUCUAAUGAUAUGUUCACUGAUGAUAUAUUUGGAGAGUCUCCUGCUGGUGUUCGUAAAACGGGUAAGGGAGAUGGUUUAGCAAUUGAAAGGAGUGGCCUACAUGACAAUUGGGAUGAUGCAGAAGGGUACUAUAGCUAUCGGUUUGGAGAAUUACUUGAUGGUCGAUAUGAAAUCAUUGCUGCACAUGGCAAAGGUGUCUUCUCUACAGUAGUUCGUGCUAGGGAUCUUAAGGCCAAAUCUGGUGAUCCUGAAGAAGUAGCGAUAAAAAUCAUUCGCAAUAAUGAGACCAUGUUGAAGGCUGGCAUGGAUGAACUGGUCAUAUUAAAAAAGUUGGCUGGUGCUGACCCUGAGAACAAACGCCAUUGUGUUCGUUUUGUUUCCAGCUUUAAGUAUCGGAAUCAUCUCUGUUUAGUUUUUGAAUCUCUUCAUAUGAAUCUUCGUGAGGUUUUGAGGAAGUUUGGUCGUAAUAUUGGGCUUAAAUUAACUGCUGUAAGGGCAUAUGCAAAGCAGCUCUUCAUUGCACUGAAACAUCUAAAGAAUUGUGGUGUACUUCAUUGUGAUAUUAAGCCUGAUAAUAUGCUGGUGAAUGAAGCAAAAAAUGUAUUGAAGCUUUGUGACUUUGGCAAUGCCAUGUUUGCUGGUAAAAAUGAAAUUACUCCAUAUCUUGUGAGUCGAUUUUAUCGUGCCCCAGAAAUAAUUCUGGGUCUGCCAUAUGAUCAUCCCAUGGAUAUGUGGUCAGUCGGUUGCUGUUUAUUUGAGAUUUACACUGGAAAAGUUCUUUUUCCUGGUCCUACAAAUAAUGACAUGCUUCGCCUUCAUAUGGAGCUUAAGGGCGCAUUUCCAAAGAGGAUGGUUCGUAAGGGUGGAUUUAAGGACAAGCACUUUGAUCAGGGGCUGAAUUUUCUUGCCACUGAGGAGGACCCUGUCACAAAGAAGGCUGUAAAGAGGCUGAUCCUUAAUGUUAAGCCAAAAGAUUUUGGAACUUUGAUUGUGGGUUGUCUGGGUGAGGAUCCAAAGAUGUUAGCCAACUUUAAAGAUCUUCUUGAUAAGAUAUUCAUGUUGGAUCCUGAUAAAAGAAUCACUGUAUCACAAGCAUUGAGCCAUCCAUUCAUCACUGAGCUUUAGAAACGGUGCUCGGCAUGUUGAACGCAAUUGUGGUGAUGUUUGAUUGGAAGAGAGCUCGUACUUGGCGCUUCUGUCAGUGGAGUGUUUUCUGUUUCUAUUGGUACCAUCUCUGCUAUGAGGCAACCGUUCAGUGCUUUAGAUGCUUAAAAGUCAACCUGGAGAAGGAAUAUAUGCUUUGGAGAUUAUUGGAUGCUGUUCCAGGUGGAUUUUUUUAGGUUAUGGCGUUUGUGAUUGCUGAUAUCCUGUAAGUAUAUUCUUAUUUUUCAUCUCCUUUGUCAUUAGUUGGUUUCUGAUGUCAAGCUAUUUCUGGUUCCAACUAUGUUUUUAACUCCUCCAACCUGUACAUGUGUGAAUUUUUUGUAGAUUUAUGCUGUUUAGCAAACUAUUUCUGAUAGUAAGCUCCUCUUAAUCUAUAUUUUGAUACUUUCCUUUGCCUUGGUCUCUGGCACCUGAGCAGAAUGGGAAUUUUUCUUUGAAUCUGCUUUUUAUAGAUGGAAUUUUUUUUACUUUUCAUGUUUAUGGGGUAUUAUGGUGGGAUAAAUGUAGACCUGGAGCUGUCAUUAGGCUGAAAGUACAUCCUUGAGGGGAAAGAAUUAGGUCAUGGGAAUUUCGACGUCUAAUUGUUAUAAAUCCUUUUUAAAUCAAUUAUAUUAAGGCAUAAUGUGCAAGUUUUUUCAAUUGAGCGAUUUGUAAUGCUUAUGACUUGCAAGAAAUUUCUAAUAACCUUGUAUCAAGCAUAUUAGAGAGACAUGCGUGAAAUCUUCCUGAGCAAGCAUACAAGUCUGACUUGAUGUGAAUGUAGCAUAGGAUGUACAUUAUCCAAGAUAUGAUAGUCGGCAAAAAAUUAGGUAGAUCAGAGGGAGUAGUGUGGGUUGGUAGGAGUAACAGAGUAGCCUUGCAAGGAAUGGAAAUAGGCUUGGAUUAAAAAAGAAGCCAAUAAGGGUGUAUAUUGGGCACUUUACAUGUGCCUAUUAAGCCUAGGUGAUCGAAGCCUGAUUACAUGUGAAAACCAAUGAGAUGAUCAUUUACUAACAGGUGUUAUCAUAUUUUUCAAAAAAAUAAUUACUGCAUCAAAGAACAAAUCGCUUAGUCUAUGAACUGAACUGGUUUUUAGAUAAUCUUUUAGCAACAAAAUAUUUUUUCUGGUUACUUGGCUUUCAGUGCAUAAGCUUGCAGCCUCAGAUUUGGCAUACAUUUGUUCCAUAACAGUCAUUUUGGUGACCUUAGUGGAGUUUGAGCUUUUAAGAUAAGAGCAGUAUAUUAGUGGAACUACUAAAACAUUUUGUAGUGGGAUUCUUGGCAUCCACUUCCAAGUAUAUUUGUACUUUUUUUGGUUGAGCUUCCUUUUCUCCCGAGUACUAGAUAACCCACGGGUAUCAGCAUGCAUGACGGAUCUUGAUAUGGUAUGGAAAUCUUAAAUUUGACAAAUGUGUUCUUGGUAAGUUCAAUUAAUUGUGGGUCUAGUGAAUUUCAGAGCGGCAGACAUACUGAGGGUUGAGUCCUCCAUGUUAUAUCUAAUUGUUUUUAGCUUGAUAGUUUUCCGGGGAUGAGGUUACAUGGGAUAAUAUUAUCAACCUUUUUAUUCUAGAAAAUGAGGUUGAGAACCGAAAAAGUGAAUACCCAUGUAUUUGUUGUAGACGAGGUACUACAGUGGCUACUCUGGUGUUUCUUGCCUUUGAGUAAUACUUAAUAUGGUCAGUGAAAUGCAACAUUCCUUUAGUACAAUUAGCCUUUUUUUAAAUGAAGAAGAGAAUGACGGGAGUUGUCAGGUUGUAAUGCAUUUUAGGAACUGAUCUUAGAUUUCAACUGAUAUGAAAUAGAUCACAACUUGUAUGAAUUUGUCAAGGAUGGAGUUUAGGAGUAUUGGUUGCUUCUUUUCUACAUCUGGAUAUUGAUAACUCAAAGAGGAAGCUUUUUGCAAGGAAACACAAGUUAAGCACAGACGACAUGGACAGAAUAAACAGAACAUACCAGCUGGGUCUCUUUUCAGUUUGCUGGCUGUUUGCUCUUGAGAUUAUUUUUGGCGGCUUACGAUAGUUUUUGAUUGCAGUAAGAAAUAAAGGAAGUCUCAGCUGAGUUCAUCUGGUGUGAAUAAAAAAUGUACAAUUUUGUCUUCUGGCACUUCCUCCCUCUUCCCUCUGACCUUCAACUUUUAGGUGCAGAAAUUUGUAAGAAUGCAUGAAUUGCUAUGGCAAGUAAUGUGAUAUUCUUUUGCCUUUGCUGGUGAGAGAUUGGUAUGGUCGGGAAAUACUGUUGUGCAUUGCCUAGUAACGUGAAGUCAGCAGGAGUUCCAUGCGUUGUUUUAUAGAAAAAUUGUAGAUGUUUUGUUGGUGUAUUUAGAGUUUUAAAAUUGGUACAUUACGAAAAAGUAAAGUACAUAUAGUUUUAAAGUGUUUUUGUCAGCAUGUUGGCAAACUCGGCAUCAACGAGUGAUCAAGGUAUUGCAUUUAUUCAAUGUAAUUAAUACCUGUUUAAGCUAGGUUUUGAUCGAGCAUCUUCUCCAUGCAAGAUUUAGGUUUUGAGUAUCAUGUUCUGCAAGCAUUUGCCCUUGUCAAUUUGCCCAGGGUAUCAUCGUCCCCUGGUGAGUGUGUUAUUGAGAAGCGAGGAAAGGUAAAUGGUCACUUGCAUAUCAUUAACUAACUAGUAUAAAAUGGUAUUUGUAACUUACCAUCUGGUGGUUACAAUAAUUUUUACGCACAUUUACCAGAGUUAAAAGGUUUUCAUCACAUGCCGCUUCUAUUUCAGCUAUAACCUGAACACUAUUUAGAGCUGCUCCUACUCGUCCCUGCUGUGGUUGGUAUUGAACUGGGCUUUGUUAAUAUGGUCUUGCUUUCUUAUACUUGUAUGGAUGGCAUUUACUGGCUAAGUGUUCUGGAUGCACCCCGUGUCAGGUGUCACAAGAACCUGUUGACUAAUUAGAAUGGGUCGGUUAUGCACUCUUGAUCUGUCUUUCCGAAGUCUUUCGUCCUCACUAUUUGUCUUGUUCCCUUUGUUUCGUCUGAGGAAGAUGUUUGAGGGGCCUCAUGCAAAGAUUUUAGCAAUAUGUGUGUGGUUGGUGUGUAUUGAACUUGUCAUCACAUGGAGUGGCAUGAAUUGUUGAUACUAACGGGGCUGAGCUAGUUUACUGAUUUUUGGGUCGGUCUUCAACAUUUGGGGUUGUCGUUACCACUUUGUGUGCUGAAUUAGAAGUGGAACUUGUAACGCCUGAGAGGACCUCUAUUGUUUUUGAGUCGGGUCAUUUGGCAUGCUCUGUUGGUAUCCAAUUGCAAAUUGAAUAUUUGAUAUUUUAUCCGAUGUUCGGGUCAUGAAUAGCCGGAUUUCCGGCCGUUGAGCCUUCGAGCUGAAUGAUAUAGAGAAUUGGAACACGUGUCCGUUUAAAUUCUCAAUCAUAAUAGACUUUAUAGUUGGCUUGACUUUCCUUGUACUAUUGGCAAUAAUAUAUGGACAUGACUGAUUCAAUU